rnacentral:lncRNA from 1 species
AUGAGUGCAGUGCUUUCUGGGUUGCUUAAACACACACACACACACACACACACACACACAAACAGACCCUCCUGGAAUCUGUUCUUACACACACACACACACAGACACUGGAAUCUGUUCUUACACACACACACUGGAGUCUGUUCUUACACACACACACACACUGGAAUCUGUUCUUACACACACACACACACACACACAAACAGACCCUCCUGGAAUCUAUUCUUACACACACACACACUGGAGUCUGUUCUUACACACACACACACACUGGAAUCUGUUCUUACACACACACACACACACAAACAGACCCUCCUGGAAUCUAUUCUUACACACACACACACUGGAGUCUGUUCUUACACACACACACACACUGGAAUCUGUUCUUACACACACACACACACACAAACAGACCCUCCUGGAAUCUAUUCUUACACACACACACACUGGAGUCUGUUCUUACACACACACACACUGGAAUCUGUUCUUACACACACACACACACACACAAACAGACCCUCCUGGAAUCUAUUCUUACACACACACACACACUGGAGUCUGUUCUUACACACACACACACACACACUGGAAUCUGUUCUUACACACACAGACCCUCCUGGAAUCUAUUCUUACACACACACACACACACACACACACACACACUGGAAUCUGUUCUUACACACACACACACACACAGACCCUCCUGGAAUCUAUUCUUACACACACACACACACAGACACUGGAAUCUGUUCUUACACACACACACACACACACACACACAAACAGACCCUCCUGGAAUCUAUUCUUACACACACACACACACUGGAGUCUGUUCUUACACACACACACACACUGGAAUCUGUUCUUACACACACACACACACACACAAACAGACCCUCCUGGAAUCUAUUCUUACACACACACACACAAACAGACCCUCCUGGAAUCUAUUCUUACACACACACACACUGGAGUCUGUUCUUACACACACACACACACACACACACUGGAAUCUGUUCUUACACACACACACACACACACUGGAAUCUGUUCUUACACACACACACAGACCCUCCUGGAAUCUAUUCUUACACACACACACACACACACAGACACUGGAAUCUGUUCUUACACACACACACACACACAGACCCUCCUGGAAUCUAUUCUUACACACACACACUGGAAUCUGUUCUUACACACACACACUGGAGUCUGUUCUUACACACACACACACUGGAAUCUGUUCUUACACACACACACACACACAAACAGACCCUCCUGGAAUCUAUUCUUACACACACACACACUGGAGUCUGUUCUUACACACACACACACACACACACUGGAAUCUGUUCUUACACACACACACACAAACAGACCCUCCUGGAAUCUAUUCUUACACACACACACACACACACUGGAGUCUGUUCUUACACACACACACACAGGAAUCUAUUCUUAUACACACACACUGAAAUCUGUUCUUACACACACACACACUGGAGUCUGUUCUUACACACACACACACACUGGAAUCUGUUCUUACACACACACACACACACACAAACAGACCCUCCUGGAAUCUAUUCUUACACACACACACACACACACACCCCCUCCUGGAGUCUGUUCUUUUUACAUCUGGCCACUCUUCUGUACCUCUUUUCAACAUUCAGGAAAUUAAUGGUUUCUCCCUAA